UUUGCUUCUACUUUUCCAAGAUUUUUUUGGGUGGUGAGAGUCCUAAGUUCUCCAUAACUUCUGCGACAUCUAGUUUUUGUCUUCCCCUAUUUAUACUUCGACGCUUAUUAUUAACGAUACCUUUUUAUUUUUACUGAAAUUUUGAAAGCUAUAGACUUUUCAUCUUCUUUGUCUUCUUCUCUGUGUUCUAACGACGAGACAUGCAACCAUAGAGAUUUAGGAGGGAGAGCUCUUUGGCCCUCACGUACGAUCAAAGAUGACGUACGAUGCUCUAGUUACCUUUCGCCGAUCUUUCAACGUACUUGACAAAAUACGACCGUUAGUUCCAGCUGGUGUUGAGUGUCCAAAAUGGGUGAAACUUUUUUCUGCACAUACACGGUUUUCUUUGAAAAUGAGGUUGGAGUUUACUGAUUGUUCUCGAUGUGAUUAAUCUGUUUAGACGAAGUGGAAUCCUGGGUUCAAGGAUACUUUUUACUUCUCCACAUGCGCUAACUGUAAAAUUCUCACCGAGCUUUCGAGAAAAGAUGAAUAGAGAGAGAGGAGUAUUUCUUUUUUGAAGUAAACGAAGCUUCAAUAGGCAAUUUUGAUCACACGCGGAUGUUUUCUAUUUGGAUACUGGUUGAUGAUAAUCCCAGAUCUGAGCCUUUAUCCGAUCACGUCCGUUCUUUGGUUUGUCGGUUGUGUGGCGGGACUGUCGAUUGGCCUUCUUUUAGUAGACCGAGGUUGCUCGAUGCGCUUGGCGUCCUCCUUAACGUCUACCAAGAGCUCAUUCCUCGCUUAGGACCACUGCCUAUCAGUUGGCUCGGCCUCAAGCGGCUGGGAUGUGCAGAUCAUUAAUUUUUGAUGUGUCGAGCUUAUCAACCCAAUCUCAACCGCCAGUCAUUUUUCAUGAUACUCUGGGACGUUCUAUUUGGGAGCCUAUUCAGGUCAUGAAUAGGCAAGGGAAGCCUUGCUUCUGUAAUGGAGGGGGUGCUGAGACGUCUGACCUGCGUGCUGGCGUCGUUAUGGAUCCGUCCGUCAGAGGUUGGUUGUGUAGCAGAUCCGGACCGUGGAUAGCAUGAGAAAGAGGGCCCGCAGAGAAGGUUCUUCACACUCAUUGGUUAGAGGCGGCGAAUAUGUCAUUCCCUGUUGGCCUUUAGAGCAUAAAAAGAUGUUACUAAUGCAGAGGACCCAUAUGGCGCGGCAUCUCUGAUUUACUUGUUGGGAGGGAAGGAGUACCAAUUGUCAGUUCCUAGUACUCUUCGAGAGAGGGAACCCUACAACAACCCUACUGUUGCUCUCGUGAAAGGAUUAUUUCUUUCAUAAUAUUGCUUUAAUUAUUUUAUGAUGAUUUUGACUUGUUUGACGCAUUUGUCUGUCUGUAGAAGCUUUGGACCAUCUGGUUUUCCAUUAUGAGGCAAGGGUCGAUGAGGGAGGUCCAGCGAAUGCAGAUCAUUCGAGUUUGGAAAGGCUUCCCGCUGAUCUUCAGGCAGCUAAGGACCGUGAGGAUUACCUUGUUAUAGAUCUUUCUGACCACAAAGCUCGCAUUGUGCACAUAUAAGAUCUAGCGCACAAAUUCCAGGUCUCCACUGAUCUAUACGCUGCUCUUGAGGCUGAGUGGGAUGCGGUCUUGGCUAGGGUGAAAUGUCUUGAAGAAUAUAUUUCGAGGUUUGUGACGCCUCAUGAAGUUUGGAUGAGGCUCUCAAUUCAGACUGAUUUAUGGAGAGUCUCAGCUCAGUAUACUGUUUACGUUUUGAGACAUGUGGGUGGCCAAGGGUAAGGAGGCGACUGCUGAAAUCGAACUCCAGGAUGUGGCGGCAAACAUCAGUCUCUUAGAUUUGCUCCAGGGGGGAGGUCGAGAUCGAGACAGAGAUGGUUGUGUUAAGCGACAUAGAGAAAGAAUGUGAUAGUGCUUGGAGGGGCAUCCAAGUUUCGAAUGUGUCUCUAGGAAAGCUUGCUCCACCGUCGGUUUUGUAGGAUUCUGUGAUGAUGGAAGCGGCCCCGGUGGGUGAUCAGAUUGUUAACUCCGAUGGUGGAGUUAGGGAGGUUUGAGAGUGUUCAUUCCUCCUUUUUUUUAUUGUUUAUGUUGCCUAAUAAUGGCUUUUUAUAAACAAUACCUUAAAAAUUUAUGAAGAAUGCAUAAGAUCUGUUUUUUUUUUUAU